AGGAACCAACUGCCAAACUUCAACUGGCACUGUGAUUUCUGGAACUCCUUAUAGCAACAUUCUGUCCUACUAAAGAGUCAAUACUGAAAGAGAAAGAUGUGCAAGGAUGCACACCAAACUGUUGUCGUCGUCACUGGUUUCCUAAUGGGAAGGAUAAGAGGAAGAGGAGGAGAGAAUCACCACAUAUCGUAUUUAGAGGUCCUGCAGAAAGGGCAGAGCGAGUUUCAUGUUUGAGUGCAGCGGAUGCAUGGGCAAAGCAUUACACAGCCGCUCCAUGGAAGUGACAAUGAGCCUUGUCUUUCACACGUAACUCCAGGAACCAGGGGAAACAAAACCAAUUCCACCCAGAGGUAAAUAAAAAUCAAAGAGCGUUCGAGGCAGCCGCAUUGACUCACCUUGCAGACAAGCAAGCAGAGCCGCAGAGCAGUGACCCGUGCCCAGCGCCUCGCAGCUAGAGCUGGAUUGGAAUCCAGGGCUUUGCAGGCUUCCUGCUUCACUCAAUCCUCUUUCUGUUGCCUCUGGCCUCAAGGUGUUGGCCUGGGAGGAAGUAGCAGAUUAAAUUCCAUGGGCACGAAGUCCGUAGCUGACGAAUACUUAAUAUGUUGCAGUUUCACAGUGAAAGUUGGCAAGUCCAGGGUGGGAACAUGCCCCAAGCAGCUGAGUCUUCUGGAUUUUAC
rnacentral:lncRNA from 10 species